AACAAGAUAAUAGAUUUCCUAACUGAAUGAUACAGUGCUUUAUGUUGUUAUCUGUGGGUAAUAAUUUGCCAUUCUUUUUCUGUAUGCAUAGAGUCCAACUCAGUGUGUUAAGAAACAAUAUGUGGUUGAGAAAUCCACUCCACAGUGGCCUGGAAGGGAAAUUGCUCCAGUCUUGUGGAAUGAACAAAUAUAGUGGGGGUAUGCAUUUCAAAUUGCCCAACACACUACCUCUUCAAGAUAUGUUUUGCUUUCUCUUCCCCUCCCUCAUCCCUUUCUUUGAGAUAGCACACAGUACAGGACUCAUGUUGAAAGGCAUGGUAUUAUGGGAUUACCGAGGGGCAUCCUAAAAGGCAGAGGAAGCAGAGUGGUGAGAAGAAGCCACCUUGAACUCUGAGUGUUUUUGCAGAAGAUUGCUUGUUUUCACAGGCAGGGUUCAAAGCUUUGCAUUCCUUCCUGGGCCUCCGUACCCCCUCAGACUAGGCUGAAUGAGAAAUCAGCAUCUCUAUAAAACGCCUUUUUACCCGUGACCCAAUCCUCCCCUCAAACCCCCACUCCCAAUAACCCCUCCUUGGCCUCCUCUCUGAAGUUGGGAAUCCAUAGGAGGUUUAUUUGUGAUGCAGCACUAAGCGUGAGAACUACUGGGUUGGGAAAAUCCAUCCGGCCACGCUGAAUUGACAGCAUAGAAGUGUUCCAUCAUUUCAAAAUUCAGACAUCUCCGGGGUCUUUUCUUACACGCACCCAGCACAACUGGGUUUGUUCUCUGUCAGCUCUAACAAAACCAGCUGUCGCCCAUACAAAACUGUCACUGCUGCUCUUCCUGAUUGAGCCUUUUUGUGGUGUCACUGGAGGUACUUUGUCAAUAUUAGUUGUUUCUUGAUUUGAAUAUUGCGUGUUAUAGUUUUGUGUGUGUGUGUGUGUGUGUGUGUGUGUGUGUGUGUGUGUGUAUGUGUGUGUUUGAUUGACAAAAGCAAGGAGUUGGCUGUGGAAAUGAGAUGCAGGGCACAAAUCAGAUGCUUUCUGUGAGGUUUGGAGGAUGCUUAGUUACUGCACUCUUGGAAUGAAAAUGGUAGAUGCUCGCACAAUGAGACCCAGCAGUUUUAUUCACUUCUCCCUUCAUUUGGAUUUUGUACCAAGAUCACAGGGUCUGUGUUAGAGCCUGUUAGAAUACCACUGGAGAAAAUGAGUAAAAAUAGCAAGGGGGACAAAGCUGUUGUUGUUUUUCAAAAUUAAGCUCUGUGACCCACAAUAAAGUACAAUUUAGCCAUCACAAGUAUGAAUAAUGCAUCAUGGAGUUCAUUUAUUAAGUUAGUUUGUAGCAUUGUUUUUGUCUUUUUUAAUUAUUCAUGUAAAUGCAUUAGAAUUUCACAUUUUUGCACCCUUUGGGUAACAUCUAAAAUCGCAUUAUUAGUGUCAAAUGUGCUUUUUGUUUUCUCUGGCUAUUUGUUCUCUCUGGCUAUUUGGCUAGUGCAUGUAUUAACCUAUCCAGUACUGUAAUUCAUAAAGUAUGUUUUAAACUAAAUAUUUUUUCCAAGCAGACCGUUUUGUGCUUGGGAAAGCCUUUUUUUUUUUU